AGAGUUUGAUCCUGGCUCAGAGCGAACGCUGGCGGCGUGCCUAACACAUGCAAGUCGAGCGAACCGUUUGGGGCAACUCGGACGGUUAGCGGCGCACGGGUGAGUAACACGUGGAUAACCUGCCUCGAAGUGGGGAAUAACACCGGGAAACCGGUGCUAAUACCGCAUAAGCCAACAAGAUCUGCGGAUUUUGUCGGAAAAGGAGCAAUUCGCUUUGAGAGGGGUCCGCGGCUGAUUAGCUAGUUGGUGAGGUAAUGGCUCACCAAGGCAACGAUCAGUAGCCGGUCUGAGAGGACGGUCGGCCACACUGGAACUGAGACACGGUCCAGACUCCUACGGGAGGCAGCAGUGGGGAAUUUUUCGCAAUGGGGGCAACCCUGACGAAGCAAUGCCGCGUGGGUGAUGAAGCAUCUCGGUGCGUAAAACCCUUUCGACGGGGACGAAAGCCGCAAGGUUUGACG
rnacentral:rRNA from 1 species